AACGCUGGCGGCGUGCCUAAUACAUGCAAGUGGAACGCAUGAUUGAUACCGUAGCUUGCUACACCAUUAAUCAUGAGUCGCGAACGGGUGAGUAACGCGUAGGUAACCUGCCUACUAGCGGGGGAUAACUAUUGGAAACGAUAGCUAAUACCGCAUAAGAGUUUUUAACACAUGUUAGAAAUUUAAAAGGAGCAAAUGCUUCACUAGUAGAUGGACCUGCGUUGUAUUAGCUAGUUGGUAAGGUAACGGCUUACCAAGGCGACGAUACAUAGCCGACCUGAGAGGGUGAUCGGCCACACUGGGACUGAGACACGGCCCAGACUCCUACGGGAGGCAGCAGUAGGGAAUCUUCGGCAAUGGGGGGAACCCUGACCGAGCAACGCCGCGUGAAGUGAAGAAGGUUUUCGGAUCGUAAAGCUCUGUUGUAAGAGAAGAACGUUGAGUAGAGUGGAAAGUUACUCAAGUGACGGUAUCUUACCAGAAAGGGACGGCUAACUACGUGCCAGCCGCCGC
rnacentral:rRNA from 1 species